rnacentral:lncRNA from 1 species
AGAAUGAGCACAUAGUUACACUGUUCAAUUAAAACUAUUACUAUUAAAAGGGGAACCCAAAUCCAUUUUCCACACAUGAUUUGAAGGUUCAUUUUAAUAAGGGCUCACCUCAUAGGAGUGAAUUUGAGAACACAAGUGGAUUGGCUUGUACAAGGGGAUCCAAUGUACUUGUGUUCUCAGGUCACCCCUUUGUGCCAUCCCCUUUUCCAUCAUAAUCAGGAUAUGAAUCGAACUUUUCAAAGCCUUCUAAUCACGUGGAAGGAGAAGUAUGUUGUUAUCUAAGUAAGAAAUUUCUCACUAUUCGAAGUAAACUUAUUUGUUUUUUACUACGUCAUGCUUUAAUUGACAAUACUUGUUUGUAGCCGCUUUAAUAUAAAAAUUACUUGCCAAUUGAUAAUCAUAUUUUACUGCUCAGUUCAAGAAUAGUUCUUCCUCGUCGGAUAGUUUUAAGGUUGUCCACCUACAAUAUACUAUGAGCAAAUUCAUCUAUUUUAAUACUAGUCAACUUCUUUUAUCUGAGAUUUAUGACACGAUUUAAGUAAAUACGAUUGAGAUUGUAGAAACACGAACUUGAGAUAUAGCUAUGUGAGAAAAUUCAAUCUUACAUAGCUAGCCUAAACAAUGACCACUCCCUUCUUUGUAUGCCACAUGUAUAAAUUGAAAUGCAAGUUCUUUUAUGCUAGAGUAAACUCCGAAUAAAAUUCCGUCUUUCAUUUAUACUCAGUUUCGAUCUUACAUAAGGGGCAUCAUCCGUCUUGUUCAGGGGUUCUCAAAGAAGUAGUGCUACAAUUGAAGGUCUAGGAAAACAUGCUACAAAAUCGUUAACCACCCCUUUUAGUGCUAAUUGUGACAAUUUUCGUAUUCAGCUUGGUGGGCAAAAAAGGGAGAAUUCCGUCUUUACCAAGGACAAUAUAUUUUGGGUAAAAUAUACCCAGGUUCACUAACAUUUUGUAAGUGUGACAGCUAUGUCCCAAUGUAUCAAUUUUUGCACCCAUAUCUCCAGUGUUUUAAGAAAAAGAAAAAGAAAAAAAAAAUCUGGCACCUACGUUCCCAACGAAAAAUAUUUAUUUGAAUGUUAAAUGGUCACGUGACAUUCAUGUGAUGUCAGACUAAA